rnacentral:tRNA from 2 species
CGGGGCGUAGCUUAGCUUGGAAGAGCGCCUGCUUUGGGAGCAGGAGGCCGCGUGUUCAAAUCACGCCGCCCCGA